UGCGGGAGAGUAGGUUAUUGCCAGGGUUUUUAUUUUUAUACUUUAAACUUUGAUUUUAUUUUUAUGUUUUUUAAAUAUUGGUGUUUUUGAAUGUGUUGUUUAAAUAACAUAAAAAAUAAAAUAUAUAUUGACAUGUAUUAAACAAAGAUAUAUAUUAUUUUAUGUUGUAUAAAUAAAUUGGCAAAAUAGAGAUGGAAGAUAAAAAUAUGGUCAAAGUAAUAAGAGUCUAUGGUGAAUGCCUAGA
rnacentral:misc_RNA from 1 species